rnacentral:rRNA from 1 species
AAUGAACGUUGGCGGCGUGCCUAACACAUGCAAGUCGAACGAAGUCUUCGGACUUAGUGGCGGACGGGUGAGUAACACGUGGGAACGUACCUUUUGGUUCGGAACAACUCAGGGAAACUUGAGCUAAUACCGAAUGUGCCCUUAGGGGGAAAGAUUUAUCGCCAUUAGAGCGGCCCGCGUUAGAUUAGCUAGUUGGUGAGGUAAAGGCUCACCAAGGCUACGAUCUAUAGCUGGUCUGAGAGGAUGAUCAGCCACACUGGGACUGAGACACGGCCCAGACUCCUACGGGAGGCAGCAGUGGGGAAUCUUGCGCAAUGGGCGAAAGCCUGACGCAGCCAUGCCGCGUGAAUGAUGAAGGUCUUAGGAUUGUAAAAUUCUUUUAGCAGGGACGAUAAUGACGGUACCUGCAGAAAAAGCCCCGGCUAACUUCGUGCCAGCAGCCGCGGUAA